rnacentral:rRNA from 1 species
AACGAACGCUGGCGGCAGGCUUAACACAUGCGAGUCGAACGCCCCUUUCGGGGGGAGCGGCAGACGGGUGAGUAACGCGUGGGAACGUGCCCUUCAGUUGGGGAUAACCCAGGGAAACUUGGGCUAAUACCGGAUACGUGCGAGAGCAGAAAGAUUUAUCGCUGAAGGAUCGGCCCGCGUCUGAUUAGCUGGUUGGUGAGGUAAUGGCUCACCAAGGCGACGAUCAGUAGCUGGUCUGAGAGGAUGAUCAGCCACAUUGGGACUGAGACACGGCCCAAACUCCUACGGGAGGCAGCAGUGGGGAAUAUUGGACAAUGGGCGCAAGCCUGAUCCAGCCAUGCCGCGUGAGUGAUGAAGGCCUUAGGGUUGUAAAGCUCUUUCGUCCGGGACGAUAAUGACGGUACCGGAAGAAGAAGCCCCGGCUAACUUCGUGCCAGCCGCCGCUGUAAGAC